rnacentral:rRNA from 1 species
GUUUACCUCCAUACCACCCUGUCUUCGCCUGAUUUCGUCUGAUCUAGGAAGCUAAUCAGGGUCGGGCCUGGCUAGGACUUGGAUGGGAGACCACCUGGGAAUACCGGGUGCUGUAAGCU